ensembl:lncRNA
AUGGCCAGUAACCUGAAAUUUGUUAUUGGGGCACUGAAAAUAUUAAUAGAAGAAGAUCAGGGAUGUAGAAAAGACUUCCAAGCUAUCUUUGAGCAGGCUAACAUUUUUCAAGACAAAUAUAAAGACAUGAACACAUACAAAGUGAAUAUGGAACAGAAACCUGAUGAAUCAAAUAAAGAAGGCACAUUUUUACCAUUGGCCCCAGAAGAAGAAUUAUUACUAGAACAAUUUAAAAUAAAACCUAAAGAGAUAAAAAAUGAAGAUUUAUCACCAGGGCAAUUAUUAGCCCAAGGGGAUUUCAAUUCAGGUGAGAAAAAUGAGGCCCGGAGAAGAUAUUCAGAUAGUUACCUUCCCAGCUGUGACUUCAUGGCUUCUGGCUCUAAAAUCAAGGCCAAAGAGACCCCAAUAAAAAAAGAAAAAGAAGAAGAAGAAAUAGUAGUGGAGGAAGAGAUUAUUAGCACUGGAAAACCUACAGAGGGAAAGGCUAAAAAGAGAUUUUCCUGGUUCCGCAAUAUCAAAGAACGCAAGCUGUGGAACUUCUUUCAUUUUAAAAAACAUGACAAACAAGUAAAGAAUGUGCACAAGUGGGAAGAAAUUGAUCAAGAGGUAUUGGAAGAUUACUCUCCUUAUUCUACUGAAGCCCCUAAAACAUUGCCAACAGAGUGGACAAAUAUUGAAGUUGGUAAUUGGUUAUGGAGCAUUGGAAUGGAGGAGUAUGUUGUAAAAUUUUAUUGUAAAGGAAUAAGUGGUGAAAAACUCCUUACACUGGACAAUCGCUCGCUAAAAGAAAUCGAAGUCAACAAGAAGAAAGACCGCCGGAAAAUACUUAAGGCUAUUAAGAAAGUUAGAGAUUUUUGGGAAAAAAAUCAUCAUUUCGUCUUAUUAUAGAAAUUGAUGGAAAGAAGACACAGAACCUGAAAGAUGGCAAAAAUGGAAAAUGCAAUUACUUUUGUUAUAUUGACUUUUCAUCAUUUUACUUCUGUUACUUUUGUUAUAUGAACUUUUAAGGGAUUUUACUUCCAUGUUACUUUUGUUAUAUGAACUUUUAAGGGAUUUUAGUUCCAUGUUACUUUUGUUAUAUGAACUUUUAAUCAUUUUAUUACUGUUACUUUUUUUAUUAUUAACUUUUAAUUAUUUCACUUUCAUGUUACAUUUGUUAUAUGAACUUUUAAGGGAUUUUACUUCCAUGUUAUUUUUGUUAUUAUUAACUUUUAAUCAUUUCACUUCCAUGUUACUUUUGUUAUAUGAACUUUUAAGUGAUUUUACUUCCAUGUUACUUUUGAUAUAUGAACUUUUAAGGGAUUUUACUUCCAUGUUACUUUUGUUAUAUGAACUUUUAAUCAUUUCACUUCCAUGUUACUUUUGUUAUAUAGAACUUUUAAGGGAUUUUACUUCCAUGUUAAUUUUGUUAUAUGAACUUUUAAUCAUUUUAUUACUGUUACUUUUGUUAUUAUUAACUUUUAAUCAUUUCACUUCUAUGUUUCUUUUGCUUUCUUAUUAACUUUUAAUUAUUUCAUUUUUAAGUAAGUAUUAUUUUGAUAGAGGAUAAUUUUUGCACAGGUUAAUAAUUGUUAAUAUCAUACAUAUAACAUAUGAAAAAAAUGGUUAUAAUAAGCACUUAUACUUUUUUAUAAGAACUAAUAUGGAAUUUCCCCCAUAUGAUCAUUUUGUAAGUAGCAAUCAUUCUAAUCUAACAAAAUUUUUAGUUAUUUUUCCUUUUCAACUUUUCAUUGCCACUGCCACCUGCUUUAAAGAAUCUGUCCCAAGUACUCUUUAUUAGUUCAUAAUCCCAGAGAACUCAAUAGGCUUUAGUCAAGCCCUCAUGAUGCUCUGUUACUUUUGUUUCAGAAUCUAUAUAUAAACAAAAGAAAUGCAUAUAAGAAUCUGUACAUAUUAUAGAUUUCCCUUAAGCAUACAUAUUGUUCAUGAGAUCUCCUUAUUACCUUACUUUUUUUUGUCAUAAUCCUCUCCAAAUCAUAUUUUAAGAGCUACAAAGUAUAGUUUUAUAUUCAUCACUCUCUUAUAGAAUUUAGUUUAAAUUUCUAUCAAAGUAUUUUAAAUAACAAUAAAAAUAACUUCAUAAAACUUUCCCCCUUAAAA